rnacentral:rRNA from 1 species
GCGGUAGCACAGGAGAGCUUGCUCUCUGGGUGACGAGCGGCGGACGGGUGAGUAAUGUCUGGGAAACUGCCUGAUGGAGGGGGAUAACUACUGGAAACGGUAGCUAAUACCGCAUGACCUCGCAAGAGCAAAGUGGGGGACCUUCGGGCCUCACGCCAUCGGAUGUGCCCAGAUGGGAUUAGCUAGUAGGUGGGGUAAUGGCUCACCUAGGCGACGAUCCCUAGCUGGUCUGAGAGGAUGACCAGCCACACUGGAACUGAGACACGGUCCAGACUCCUACGGGAGGCAGCAGUGGGGAAUAUUGCACAAUGGGCGCAAGCCUGAUGCAGCCAUGCCGCGUGUGUGAAGAAGGCCUUAGGGUUGUAAAGCACUUUCAGCGAGGAGGAAGGCGYUGYAGUUAAUAGCUGCAGCGAUUGACGUUACUCGCAGAAGAAGCACCGGCUAACUCCGUGCCAGCAGCCGCGGUAAUACGGAGGGUGCAAGCGUUAAUCGGAAUUACUGGGCGUAAAGCGCACGCAGGCGGUUUGUUAAGUCAGAUGUGAAAUCCCCGAGCUUAACUUGGGAACUGCAUUUGAAACUGGCAAGCUAGAGUCUUGUAGAGGGGGGUAGAAUUCCAGGUGUAGCGGGUGA